rnacentral:rRNA from 1 species
UACGUAGGUGGCAAGCGUUGUCCGGAUUUACUGGGCGUAAAGAGCGCGCAGGCGGUCGUUCAAGUCGCGUGUGAAAGCCCCCGGCUCAACUGGGGAGGGUCACGCGAUACUGAUCGACUCGAAGGCGGGAGAGGGUAGUGGAAUUCCCGGUGUAGUGGUGAAAUGCGUAGAUAUCGGGAGGAACACCAGUGGCGAAGGCGACUACCUGGCCUGUUCUUGACGCUGAGGCGCGAAAGCUAGGGGAGCAAACGGG